GGACCUGUAGCUCAGUUGGUUAGAGCAUGCGCUUGAUAAGCGCAGGGUCGCUGGUUCAAGUCCAGCCAGGUCCACCA
rnacentral:tRNA from 1 species